rnacentral:rRNA from 1 species
GGGCCCGCACAAGCGGUGGAGCAUGUGGUUUAAUUCGAUGAUACGCGAGGAACCUUACCAGGGCUUAAAUGUAGUUUGACCGGUCUGGAAACAGACUUUCUCUUCGGAGCAGAUUACAAGGUGCUGCAUGGUUGUCGUCAGCUCGUGCCGUGAGGUGUUAGGUUAAGUCCUGCAACGAGCGCAACCCCUAUUCUUAGUUGCCAGCGGUUCGGCCGGGGACUCUAAGAAGACUGCCAGCGCAAGCUGAGAGGAAGGUGGGGAUGACGUCAAAUCAUCACGGCCCUUACGUCCUGGGCUACACACGUGCUACAAUGGUAACUACAACGGGACGCAAUACCGCGAGGUGGAGCAAA